GAUGGUGCAAGUAAAGCAAAUCAAAUGACCAUAGUCAGUCUCUAUGUUUUAAGCUUUCCGCUGAUCCCACGUUUAUUGGGCCAGAUACAAGUGACAGAAUUCUUCUUGGCAGCAACUGAAGACUGAUCACUCCGACCACUUUUACUGUUAAAUCGUCUUCAACAUCGUCGCACAAAAACAACCUCAACAAACUCCACCACCACCAACCUCGCUCUCCUCAGGCACGCCUAUUCUCCUCUUCGAACUUAGGGUUUGAAAUCCCUUCUAAGUUUCUAAUUUCCUCCAAAAUCCCCAAUUUCGCA
rnacentral:lncRNA from 1 species